AGAGAUGUGUGAUGACGCAUAUCAAUAAGCGGAGGAAAAGAAACUAACAAGGAUUCCCUUAGUAACGGCGAGUGAAGCGGGAAGAGCUCAAAUUUGAAAUCUUCAAGGUUCUACCUUGACGAAUUGUAGUUUAUAGAAGUGUUUUCUGUUAGUGGAGUGGCAAAAGUUCUUUGGAAUAGGACAUCAUAGAGGGUGAGAAUCCCGUAUUUGGUCAUUCCUCCUAGCGUUGUGAUACACUUUCAACGAGUCGGAUUGUUUGGGAAUGCAGUCCAAAAUGGGUGGUAAAUUUCAUCUAAAGCUAAAUAUUGGCGAGAGACCGAUAGCGAACAAGUACCGUGAGGGAAAGAUGAAAAGAACUUUGAAAAGAGAGUUAAACAGUACGUGAAAUUGUCAAAAGGGAAGCGUUUGACACCAGUGUUGUUUUUCCGAAAAUCAAUUACGAAUGUUUUGUUUUUGAGGAGUUAUGACUUCAUCGGCUUGCUCCUUUCUCUACGAAACUUUCUUAAUGCACUUUUCGGUUAACAAGUCAACAUCAAUUUCUUUUGUUGUAAAAGGGUAUGAGGAAGGUGGCUUUCUUUUCGGAGAAAGUGUUUAUAGCCCUUGUACCUUCUGCAAUCGGAGAGAUUGAGGUCUGCAGCGUAGAUCCUUCGGGGUUAGAUACAUUUGUGCUAAGUUAUAGCUUGUCAUAGACAACUUGUUGACUAUGUUCAGUCAUUGUAGCUUACUCGCUUAUGCUAUUUUACCUACGCUUAGGAUGUUGAUCUGUAGUGCGUGCGC
rnacentral:rRNA from 1 species